rnacentral:rRNA from 1 species
UACGUAGGGUGCAAGCGUUGUCCGGAAUUAUUGGGCGUAAAGAGCUCGUAGGCGGUUUGUCGCGUCUGCUGUGAAAACUCGGGGCUUAACUCCGGGCCUGCAGUGGGUACGGGCAGACUAGAGUGCGGUAGGGGAGACUGGAAUUCCUGGUGUAGCGGUGAAAUGCGCAGAUAUCAGGAGGAACACCGGUGGCGAAGGCGGGUCUCUGGGCCGUAACUGACGCUGAGGAGCGAAAGCUAGGGGAGCAAACGGG